AUGUCAUGUUCUAUUCCAGACCCCAGCAUCGACGGUGCCGGCACAGCCGCAGGGGUACAAAACGCUUCGGAAGUGAGCCCCCUGCCCUACAACAACGCACCAUCGGACACCAACGCACCAGUCCCUCACAAACCAUCACGGAGCAAGAACAAGAAGGGCCACCACCAUUCCAAACACCGAUCCCCGGAAAAGAAGAGCCAGGGAGGGGCGUCUGGGGAGACAAGGGCCUCCAAGCAGUCCAAGAAAAAAGUUGACAAGAGCCAGAGGUCUGGCGGGGAUACCCACGGCACUCACCACCGAGGACACCACUCCCCGAAUAAGGGCCGUAGCCGGGCCCGCAGCGCAGAGAACACCCUAGACAGUAGACACAGCCAAGGGCACCACAACACCCACCGCUCUCCCUACAGGUCCACUCACCGCAAUCGGUCCCCCUAUGGCCACCGGUCCCCCUACCGCUCCCCCCACCGCUCACACCACCACUCCCCCACCCGCUACCGCCGUACCCAAUCCUCAGACCCCUACUGGCAGCCCUCCCUAGACAGACAGCGACACAGAGAGCCAGAGAGGCCCAACGGGGAGAAGGCACCAGUGCUGAGGAAGCCUCCUGGCCCUGUGCCCAGCCCCUUCCUGGAUGAGAGCCUCCUACAGGAGCCCCCAGCCCUGGACCGGCUCAACAGGGAGGUCACGCGACUGAGGGAGUCCAGAGAGGAGCACCUGUUUGGGGAGGACAGCCUUCUGCUGAGGGCCUCCAACCUGGAGCGUGACUACAGAGGAGACAGCCUGUUAUCUGCUACUGCCCGUGGCCAGAGAGGGGAGAUCCUUCCCAGGGUCCACACCCCUGAGUCAGACAGCGCCUACAAGAGGUACAGCUCACUGCUGAGGGGCCGCUCGCCUGAGAGGGUGGAGAGAGAGCCGCGCUCCCCAGACCCCCACCAUAGAGCCCGUAGCCUGGGCCGAGACAUUUCACCUGUCGGAAGCUUCAGAGAACCGGAGGAGGAGGAAGCGGCAGCACCCAGACUGAAGGAGUAUUACAGCACACUUAAGUCUAAUGCCAGCCGUGCUUCCAAAGCUCUCCCGGAGCCCAAGCGGAAGGCCCAUAAAGAUGGCACCAAAGACCUGAGCAUCUGA
rnacentral:lncRNA from 1 species